GUCAAACUUUAGUAAAAAGAACUCAGCAGCGGAUAAACACGCCAGCAACGUUACAAGUGGUGAAAUAUAGAAAUAAAUACCUCUACCCGUGUGUAUUAAUCAGCGAAACACUAAUGUUAAACAGGGAUUAGAGACCCCUUUAUACAAGUGCUCAUUUUACUUCGCGGAGUACUAAGACUUUCAGAGUUAAAACUUAAACAACAUGGCGGUAACUUUAAUUUAGGGGAACUUACCAAAUAAAUGAUAACCACCAAGGUCAAACAACUGCGAAUAAAUCUUGUAUGCCGUCGUCGUCAGGUGGCACUCGAUGUCCCACCCAAAUAGCUACCUAAAAAGACAGAUCAAGGUGCAGACGAUUUUGCAGUAAUGGAGAGUUACAGUUUUGAUUAUUAACGGAUAAACUAUGUAAUUAACAUCUGAAGGGGGACUUAACAGUAAUAAAAACUACCAAUAGUUUAUGAAU
rnacentral:rRNA from 1 species